UACGGAGGUAGAGCACUGAAUGUCCUAGGGGGUAUUGCACCUACCGAAGACUAUCAAACUCCGAAUGCCGUCAUCUUAUACUUGGGAGUCAGACUGUGGGUGAUAAGAUUCAUAGUCGAAAGGGCAACAGCCCAGAUCGUCAGCUAAGGUCCCUAAAUGUAAGUUAAGUGGUAAAGGAUGUGGGAUUGCACAGACAACCAGGAUGUUGGCUUAGAAGCAGCCACUCAUUCAAAGAGUGCGUAAUAGCUCACUGGU
rnacentral:rRNA from 1 species